rnacentral:lncRNA from 1 species
GUCUCAUGUCUAUCUCUAGAUUCACCUUCCGUGACAAGGUAACACUACGACUAUUGAAGUUAUAUUUUUAUAUAGCGGAUGUGGUCGAGUGGUCUAGAGCGCUGGACAUGAGGCUAAGCGAUUGGUGCUGUAGUGUAUCAAAGGUGUGAGUUCGAAUCCCGCUGAGGGACGGACAAAAAUUUGUCAGUAUAAAAUCUAACUCUAACACUGUUUGGUGUAAUUUUCAGACUUAUAUAUAUAUUUGCAUUAACCUUGUAUCUAUAUCACUCUUAGAUCCAGUGGACAUGUAUAUUGUAUGGUUUGUCACUUGUUUAGACUUGUUUGUAAAAUAUACUUAUUUCUAUGUGACUGUAUAAUGAAAUGAAUCAUGAUCCUAUAUGAUAUAUAAAAAUUGUUGAGUUAGA